rnacentral:rRNA from 1 species
GACGAACCGAGCGAACGUUGUUCGGAAUCACUGGGCUUAAAGGGCGCGUAGGCGGGCUGCCAAGUUUGGGGUGAAAUCCUCCGGCUCAACCGGGGAAGGGCCUCGAAUACUGGCGGUCUGGAGGGAGGUAGGGGCGUGCGGAACUGUAGGUGGAGCGGUGAAAUACGUUGAUAUCUACAGGAACUCCGGUGGCGAAGGCGGCACGCUGGACCUUUUCUGACGCUGAGGCGCGAAAGCCAGGGGAGCAAACGGGG